CACCCUAUUAUCGUGAGAUGGGGCUAUCGCUCCUGCCGUUUAUGCGUUGACGUUAUGCUGCGGCGACCGGGUGAUGACUGGGGCAGCAGUAGGCUUGGGCGGCGCUUGCUUCGUAGAACUCCGCGCGUGGACGACGGAGGAGGGACUGGAAGGGUACCGCGGCGGCAAGCGGCAGCGGCAGCGGCGGCAAAGGAGGAGUAGGGGAGAGAAAAGGAGGAGUAGUAGGGCGGGGUAGGAGGCGGCGGUGGGCGACGACGCAAGAUAGAGGCACGCCGGUGCCGUGGCGAGCCGACACCGGAGGCGGCGCCGCUGGCUCAGGCGACCCUUCGAGGAAGAGCUCCAUGUGCCCGAAUGGCGGAGGCAGUUCCUCUUACCCGUCGUCUAGGAUUUUCCGCAGCUGGAGUGGUAGGCGCUCCCGCUCCAAGUACGCUAGUACCCCUUCUUGCCGAGGCCGUUCUCGUGGGAGUGUUUCCAAGAACAACCGGUAGGUGUGAUGCUCCAUUGACCACCAUGGUAAGAGAAGUUCCCACUCUUGAAUUAACUGUACCUCGGUCUCCUCUCUAGAGAACGUCCGGAGAAAUACUCGAAGGUUCGCGGAUAACUUUAAGGACCUCACUCGUUAAUACUAAAAGACGAGUACCGUUAUUUACGAGCGUCUCUCUUCCUACCAGACGGUCGAAACCCUGGAGAACUCAAGAUAAGACAACAUAGUGUUUUUCAGCUCCGGAAUUUCUACCUCGGUUUCUAGGAACUAGCAUUACAUUUGCUUCCUAAAUCACCACCUCUUUCCUUCGCGUUACUCUAUGACGUUGAAAGACAGGAACCCCGACUAAAUCGGGAGGAGCUACUUUAGCUAAGACCUAAUCUACAACUACGUGAGCUUCUACAUCGAGUACGUCACUUACCCGAGAACUGAGGGGUUUUGAGGCAAGACUACUAAUGCGUAAUGGUUGCAGAAAACCUAGAAUAAUUCGGUUCGAUACAAGUGUAGUACCUUUCACCGUUCUAUCACUUCUGUCCACUGUCGAGAGAUCGGUCGGUGUAGUUGCUCCCACCGAUGUUUAGUUAGCGAAGAAAACAUAUCGUACUUAUUCCAGUUUACGAACUUAAGGGUCGGUGAUCAGAUAAACAGACUUGUUUGACCACUGAUCAACCCAAGAUAUAUAAGAAUACGGGCCACUUUGCACGAUUGAAUACACUUUAACAUCUCGAUCACGGGUAAACCGGUCCGUAUAGUAGGAAAACCUCCACCUCGUGACCUCAAGACUUAACGGGGGCCGGUAUAAAGAGAAAGAGCAGGAGUCCAUGGAUGACCUGAACGGUAACGUAAUUCG
rnacentral:rRNA from 1 species